rnacentral:rRNA from 1 species
GUGGGGAAUAUUGCGCAAUGGGGGCAACCCUGACGCAGCAACGCCGCGUGCAGGAAGAAGGUCUUCGGAUUGUAAACUGUUGUCGCAAGGGAAGAAGACAGUGACGGUACCUUGUGAGAAAGUCACGGCUAACUACGUGCCAGCAGCCGCGGUAAUACGUAGGUGACGAGCGUUGUCCGGAUUUACUGGGUGUAAAGGGCGCGUAGGCGGACUGUCAAGUCAGUCGUGAAAUACCGGGGCUUAACCCCGGGGCUGCGAUUGAAACUGACAGCCUUGAGUAUCGGAGAGGAAAGCGGAAUUCCUAGUGUAGCGGUGAAAUGCGUAGAUAUUAGGAGGAACACCAGUGGCGAAGGCGGCUUUCUGGACGACAACUGACGCUGAGGCGCGAAAGUGUGGGGAGCAAACAGGAUUAGAAACCCGAGUAGUCC